rnacentral:rRNA from 1 species
GUCGAACGAGAAAGUGGUAGCAAUACCAUGAGUAAAGUGGCGCACGGGUGAGUAACACGUGACUAACCUACCCUGGAGUGGGGGAUAACUGAGGGAAACCUUAGCUAAUACCGCAUAAUACCCACGGGUCAAAGGAGCAAUUCGCUCCAGGAGGGGGUCGCGGCCGAUUAGUUAGUUGGCGGGGUAACGGCCCACCAAGACGAUGAUCGGUAUCCGGCCUGAGAGGGCGCACGGACACACUGGAACUGAAACACGGUCCAGACUCCUACGGGAGGCAGCAGUGGGGAAUUUUGCGCAAUGGGGGAAACCCUGACGCAGCAACGCCGCGUGGAGGAUGAAGUCCUUCGGGACGUAAACUCCUUUCGAUCGGGACGAUAAUGACGGUACCGGAAGAAGAAGCCCCGGCUAACUUCGUGCCAGCAGCCGCGGUAAUACGAGGGGGGCGAGCGUUGUUCGGAAUUAUUGGGCGUAAAGGGUGCGUAGGCGGUUUGGUAAGUCUUAUGUGAAAUCUAUGGGCUCAACUCAUAGACUGCAUGAGAAACUGCCGGGCUCGAGUAUGGGAGAGGUGAGUGGAAUUUCCGGUGUAGCGGUGAAAUGCGUAGAUAUCGGAAGGAACACCUGUGGCGAAAGCGGCUCACUGGACCAUAACUGACGCUGAUGCACGAAAGCUAGGGGAGCAAACAGGAUUAGAUACCCUGGUAGUCCUAGCCCUAAACCAUGACUGCUUGGUGUGACGGGUACCC